UGGGGAAUAUUGCACAAUGGGCGCAAGCCUGAUGCAGCCAUGCCGCGUGUAUGAAGAAGGCCUUCGGGUUGUAAAGUACUUUCAGCGGGGAGGAAGGGAGUAAAGUUAAUACCUUUGCUCAUUGACGUUACCCGCAGAAGAAGCACCGGCUAACUCCGUGCCAGCAGCCGCGGUAAUACGGAGGGUGCAAGCGUUAAUCGGAAUUACUGGGCGUAAAGCGCACGCAGGCGGUUUGUUAAGUCAGAUGUGAAAUCCCCGGGCUCAACCUGGGAACUGCAUCUGAUACUGGCAAGCUUGAGUCUCGUAGAGGGGGGUAGAAUUCCAGGUGUAGCGGUGAAAUGCGUAGAGAUCUGGAGGAAUACCGGUGGCGAAGGCGGCCCCCUGGACGAAGACUGACGCUCAGGUGCGAAAGCGUGGAGAGCAAACAGG
rnacentral:rRNA from 1 species